rnacentral:rRNA from 1 species
GAUGAACGCUAGCGGCAGGCUUAAUACAUGCAGGUCGAGGGACAGCACAGGUAGCAAUACUGGGUGGUAACCGGCAAACGGGUGCGGAACACGUACACAACCUUCCUUUAAGUGGGGGAUAGCCCAGAGAAAUUUGGAUUAAUACCCCGUAAUAUAGUUGAAUGGCAUCAUUUGAUUAUUAUAGCUACGGCGUUUAAUGAUGGGUGUGCGGCUGAUUAGAUAGUUGGCGGGGUAACGGCCCACCAAGUCUACGAUCAGUAGCUGAUGUGAGAGCAUGAUCAGCCACACGGGCAAUGAGACACGGGCCCGACUCCUACGGGAGGCAGCAGUAAGGAAUAUUGGUCAAUGGACGCAAGUCUGAACCAGCCAUGCCGCGUGAAGGAUUAAGGUCCUCUGGAUUGUAAACUUCUUUUAUUUGGGACGAAAAAGGGCCUUUCUAGGUCAACUGACGGUACCAGAUGAAUAAGCACCGGCUAACUCCGUGCCAGCCGCCGCGGUAACAC